rnacentral:misc_RNA from 1 species
GCCACACCAAUAUAACUUCUUGUUUGUUGAACCCCGCGUGCUCAUAUCUAAUUAAAACUAUACAAAUUAUAUUACUGUUAAUUUCUCGCAUCCAGAAAAUUCUGCACUGAUUUUUGUUCUAUUUCUGCUCUAUUUUUUGCAUUUUAGAUAGUUUUAAUUGAUAAACCAGAAACAAGUAGAAAAAAUAUAACCGUCCGCAUAAAUUUAUUUAUGUAUCGCCUAAAAAUUUUGGCUACAAAAAAUAAUAACUUUAUUAUUUAAUCGCUUGCCCGCACGUACCUUUUUUUCACUGGAUGUCUGACGGACAAAAAAUUAUAUUGGUGUGGCCUAAUGCAUACCCAUGUGAAGUAUUGUCAAGUAAUGGGGGAGUGUUGGGAAUGCGAGUUUGCAUACUAUUUUUUUCAUUGUGUCUUGUAUAUUGUAUAAGCAAUAUUGUGGUACAGGUCAUGUUAGCUUCCAUCCAAUCUUCUGAAACCCACCCCUUCCCCAUUCCAACUCCUAUCUUGCAUUAAAUUGUUAUUUAUAUAUGGAGUAUAGCUUAAUUGUGGGCAUCUCCUUUCUUCUGGUCAAGAAACUGUCUCUAAAUAUCAUUCAUUUUAUCAUUUCUCAUUCCUUUUGAACAUUUUAUUAUACAUGUAAUUAUAUGUAUGCAUGUUUUAAUCAAUUGACAGUAUAAUCUGGGUCAUUUAAACUUCCUCAAAGGUGCUACUGAUUUUGUAAAAUUUAUAACUAAACUAUAAUCAUUAUUUAAAAUAUAGGAUAUUUGUACUUGGUGGUUGGUGCAUUUACAAGAACGUAAAAUAUGAAAAAAGGGGAUAUGGGAAUAUAAUACAUUGUAUGCAUAUACUUCAAUGUGUCAACUUGUCCUUGGUAAACACUAUUUUCUUUGAAUAGCAAAUUAAAACUAUCAAUAAAAUGUCAAAAUAGAAACAUAUUUGCUGACAUUUUAAAUUUUCAAAGAUAAAAUUAUUACAUGUUUAAGAAUGAAUGCGAUACAUGUAUCAAGUAGGGUUUAUGAAUAAUUUUUAAAUUACUUGUACAAAGAUUCACAUUUUUGUAUGUGAUUAACAUAUUACACAGCCAUGUAUAUGAAUAUGUUAGUGUAGAAGGCUUUAUGCGACCAAGAUACAAUACACUUAACGACUGUUGAAUGUGUAGAUUCUUUCUUACAUUCCUCUACUGUCAGUAACAUGCAGUAUUCUCUGACUGUAUACCAAAUUUUAUUUAUUGCUUAUAGUGAAAAAAAAUGCAAUAAAAUUGUUAAAAGUGG